UAGACUCGUACAUUAUAAAUUAUCAGAUAAAAUCUGGAAAUUCGGCACGACCGUAGCACGUUUUGCUACCUAUUAUUCUCUAAUAAUAUUACUCAGUGUAUCCAGUAGUACCAAGUACUCACGUGUAACACUGGCCGACCCGUGAGUAGCAUAGAAUUUUUUUCCUUAUACCUUUAUGGGUACAAAAUAUCGGUAAAGCACGAUCCCGUACGUUUUACCAUUUUGGGAACACGAUUCCGUUCGAUCAAACAAUGGAUCGUCAAAAUGGCUUAAAAAACAACACGAUUACGUACGAUUUAGUAUUUAUUAUUGCCAAUUUGUUU